UCGUACUUUGGGCCAUCCUCAACCAAACGGGCCCCGUGAGUAUAGUUCAGCCACCGUCCCAACAGCUGUCUCAGGCGAGAACGCAACAUUCCCGGCCAUCUCUAAGGGGCAGAUCCAGAAAAAUAGCUGAGUGGGGGUGAAGUUCAAAUGAUUCAAAAAUGUCCAUAAGAAAGGCCUGCAGGGAGCUUUGAUCAUUGGAUCCGAUUCACAUAAUACAUGUAUUUUAUGUCAAGGUGAAUAGGUGAUUUCAUAGGUUAACACAAUAUUCAAUCAACUUGAAAAAAGACAUUCUAUAUUAUCAUGAAGCAGGUCAGCUUGUGCAAAACCAAAAAAAGGUUCCAUGAACCUCGAGCAAUUUUUGUUUUUUUCCUCCUUAAAUGUUUUCACUUUUAUGAUUUCUAUCUUAUAUAUGCUUGUGGUAUGCCUUUGAUCCAAGUGUGUGUUUCCCAAAACUUGGAUUCAAAAGCAUCAAACUCUAUUCUUAUGCUGUAGUUGUCAACACUUGAACACCCGUAGUUAUUAAAAUACAAAAAAUGCUUUAAGUUGGUCCUUAUUCCUUGCAGUAAUCUCUAGGAUUAUUGUUCAUCAUAAUUAGGCCAAGAAAAAAAACCUAGUAAAUUUCUUUUGUUCCUUACUUUGUGAAGGUAUUUGUUUUUCCUCCAUCAUUUCCCCGCGUCAGGAUAUUUUAUAUCAUGCUAAAAAUAGAAAUUACAGGAAAGAUUCAAGUGGAUAUAUUUCCUGUAUCUUUGCUCUGAAUCUAUCCAUUAAUAUCCUUCCUAAAGCCGGGAGUGACUAUGAUCAUGGGAUUCAUGGCAGUGAAGGAGAUAGUAUUUGCAUCAUGGAGUGGCCCAAGACCAUCAAAAA